GACGAACGCUGGCGGCGUGCUUAACACAUGCAAGUCGAACGAAAAGAGGGAAAGAGCUUGCUCUUUCCGGAAUUGAGUGGCAAACGGGUGAGUAACACGUAAACAACCUGCCUUCAGGAUGGGGACAACAGACGGAAACGACUGCUAAUACCGAAUAAGUUCCAAGAGCCGCAUGGCCCAUGGAAGAAAAGGUGGCCUCUACCUGUAAGCUAUCGCCUGAAGAGGGGUUUGCGUCUGAUUAGCUGGUUGGAGGGGUAACGGCCCACCAAGGCGACGAUCAGUAGCCGGUCUGAGAGGAUGAACGGCCACACUGGAACUGAGACACGGUCCAGACUCCUACGGGAGGCAGCAGUGGGGGAUAUUGCACAAUGGGGGAAACCCUGAUGCAGCGACGCCGCGUGGAGGAAGAAGGUUUUCGGAUUGUAAACUCCUGUCGUUAGGGACGAUAAUGACGGUACCUAACAAGAAAGCACCGGCUAACUACGUG
rnacentral:rRNA from 1 species